CUACGGGCCGCUGCAGUUAAGGAUCUUUUACAAUGCACGCAAGUGUGAUAGAGCGAGCCAGAGUGUUUCUCAUAUUUGAGAAACUUUUGUCUGUUGUAAAAAGACAGAUGAAUAAGGACUGGGAGAGACCGGUGCCAGCCGCCGCGGUAAUACCGGCGGUCCGAGUCGCAGCCACAAUUAUUGGGUCUAAAACAUCCGUAGCUUGUUAUGUAAGUUUCUUGUGAAAUCUUGUCUCUUAAAGGCAAGGCGUGCAAGAAAUACUGCAUGGCUUGAGACUGGAAGAAGUAAAGAGUACGGUUGAGGUAGUGGUAAAAUACGUUAAUCUUAACUGGACUAACAAUAGCGAAGGCACUUUACUAGUACAGAUCUGACAGUGAGGGAUGAAGGCUAGGGUCGCAAAACGGAUUAGAUACCCCCGUAGUC
rnacentral:rRNA from 1 species